rnacentral:rRNA from 1 species
GACGAACGCUGGCGGCGUGCCUAACACAUGCAAGUCGAACGAACAGUUCAGGACUUUUCUCCCCUGCCUUCUUCGCCGGUCGGGUGCUUAACACGUGUUCAACCUACCUCCCAGACUGGGGUACUUUCGCGGAACCCUAUCUUCUACCCGACAAUUUAUCGAAUCUCAUUGUUCCAUCGUUAAAUACGGUUUUUCUUUCACUUAAAGCUUCCUCCGCGCCGCAUUAGCCAGUUGGUAAGGUAACGGCUUAACAACGCACCGAUGCGUAGCCGACCUGAGAGGGUGAUCGGACACACUGGAACAGAGACACGGUAGAGACACCGACGGGAGGAAGCAGUAGGGAAUCUUACGCGAUGGGGGAAAGCCUGACGGAGCAACGCCGCGUGAGUGAUGAAGGUGUUAGGAUCGUAAAACUAUGUAAUUAGGGAAGAAGAAAUGUGUAAGUAACUAUGCACGUAAUGACGGUACCUAAUCAGAAAGCCACGGCUAACUACGUG